AACGCAACUGGCGCCGGUUUACCGGCGUGCCUGUUUCAGUGUGCUAGGAGAGUAAACUAUCUUUAUUAAAUAUAAUGCGAUUGAGGUACAUUUAUGUUCUUCUUUCGUUAAAUAUGAAGGUGUGAAAGAUGAGUAAUCUCUCACACUGACAAGCGAAGUAGUCAUUAUUGUUCGUGAUCUCGUUUAACCAGUUCUAAAGGUUUUUGCUUAGCUGUAAAUCACAUCUAAUCAAUUAAAUAUCACCAAAUUUGGCAUCUGAAAUCAGACAAGGAUACCCGCUGAACUUAA
rnacentral:misc_RNA from 1 species